GACCGGCCACCCGGGUGGCGGCAGGCUGUGAACCCGGUCAGGUCCGGAAGGAAGCAGCCGCAGCAGCCGAGCCGGGUGCCCGGGCAAGGCCGGUCGGA
rnacentral:SRP_RNA from 1 species